AUGCAGCGGCGGCUGGAUGGACUUGGUGCAGCGGAGGUCUCCCGCGGAUUGACAGAACGGCGGCUUGACGGGUCACGGCGAGGGACUCGGCGAUGGGGACUUGGUGCAGAACUGCUGCUGGUGGCGCCCGACGUCCCUCGCGAAGCGGCGGCCGAGGAGGUCCUGUGCUCCGGCGAGGUCGAGGAACUUGGCGACACGGACUUGGGGGCGCCGGCGACCUUGGCAUGGUGCAGGGCUCUGGCAGCGCGGUCAACGAGCAGGAGAGGCGGCGUUGAGGACGACGGGUCCGGGCGGCGAGGCACUUGA
rnacentral:rRNA from 1 species